rnacentral:rRNA from 1 species
UAGAGUUUGAUCCUGGCUCAGAGUGAACGCUGGCGGCGUGCUUAACACAUGCAAGUCGAACGAGAACGGGUUAUAGCUUGCUAUAACUGUCAGCUAAGUGGCGCACGGGUGAGUAAUAUAUAGGUAAUGUGCCUUAGAGAAGAGAAUAAUUGUUGGAAACGACUUGUAAUGCUCUAUAUGCCCUUAAUACAAAAGUAUGCAGGGGAAAUAUUUAUAGCUCUAAGAUCGGCCUGUACGGUAUCAGCUUGUUGGUGAGGUAAUGGCUCACCAAGGCUAUGACGCCUAACUGGUUUGAGAGGAUGAUCAGUCACACUGGAACUGAGACACGGUCCAGACUCCUACGGGAGGCAGCAGUGGGGAAUAUUGCACAAUGGACGAAAGUCUGAUGCAGCAACGCCGCGUGGAGGAUGACACAUUUCGGUGCGUAAACUCCUUUUAUAUGAGAAGAAAAUGACGGUAUCAUAUGAAUAAGCGCCGGCUAACUCCGUGCCAGCAGCCGCGGUAAUACGGAGGGCGCAAGCGUUACUCGGAAUCACUGGGCGUAAAGAGCGUGUAGGCGGGUAUUUAAGUUNGGAAGUGAAAUCCUAUGGCUCAACCAUAGAACUGCUUCCAAAACUGAAUACCUAGAAUAUGGGAGAGGUAGAUGAAAUUUUGGGGUAGGGGUAAAUUCCGAAGAGAUCAGAAGGAAUACCGAUUGGGAAGGCGAUCUACUGGGCCUUUAUGGACGGUGAGACGCGAAAGCGUGGGGAGCAAACAGGAUUAGAUACCCUGGUAGUCCACGCCCUAAACGAUGUACAUUAGUUGUUGCGAUGCUAGACAUUGCAGUAAUGCAGUUAACACAUUAAAUGUACCGCUUGGGGAGUACGGUCGCAAGAUUAAAACUCAAAGGAAUAGACGGGGACCCGCACAAGCGGUGGAGCAUGUGGUUUAAUUCGACGAUACGCGAAGAACCUUACCUGGCCUUGACAUAGAAAGAAUUUAGCAGAGAUGUAAAAGUGCUAGUUUACUAGAGCUUUCAUACAGGUGCUGCACGGCUGUCGUCAGCUCGUGUCGUGAGAUGUUAGGUUAAGUCCUGCAACGAGCGCAACCCUCGUGUUUAGUUACUAACAGUUCGGCUGAGGACUCUAGACAUACUGCCUGGGCAACCAGGAGGAAGGUGAGGACGACGUCAAGUCAUCAUGGUCCUUAUGCCCUGGGCUGCACACGUGCUACAAUGGCUGGUACAGAAGGAAGCAAUACCGCGAGGUGGAGCAAAUCCCCAAAACCAGCCCCAGUUCGGAUUGGAGUCUGAAAUUCGACUCCAUGAAGUUGGAAUCGCUAGUAAAGGCGUAUCAGCUACGACGCCUUGAAUACGUUCCCGGGCCUUGUUCACACCGCCCGUCACAUCAUGGAAGUCUGCUGUACCCGAAGUCGCUGAUCUAACCAUUUACUUGGAAGAAGGCGCCGAAGGUGUGGCCGGUAACUAGGAUGAAGUCGUAACAAGGUAACCA